rnacentral:rRNA from 1 species
ACUCAAAUGAAUUGACGGGGGCCCGCACAAGCGGUGGAGCAUGUGGUUUAAUUCGAUGCAACGCGAAGAACCUUACCAAGACUUGACAUGGAGACGAAUGCCGCAGAGAUGCGGUAGCCUUCGGGCGUCUCACACAGGUGGUGCAUGGUUGUCGUCAGCUCGUGCCGUGAGGUGUUGGGUUAAGUCCCGCAACGAGCGCAACCCUUAUUCUCAGUAGCCAGCGGAUAAAGCCGGGCACUCUGAGGAGACUGCCGUGGAUAACACGGAGGAAGGCGGGGAUGACGUCAAAUCAUCAUGCUCUUUAUGUCUUGGGCUACACACGUGCUACAAUGGUCGUUACAAAGUGAAGCAAACCGGCGACGGCAAGCAAAUCACAAAAAAGCGGCCCCAGUUCGGAUCGUAGUCUGCAACCCGACUACGUGAAGUUGGAAUCGCUAGUAAUCGCGAAUCAGCAUGUCGCGGUGAAUACGUUCCCGGGCCUUGUACACACCGCCCGU